rnacentral:rRNA from 1 species
GAUGAACGCUGGCGGCGUGCCUAAUACAUGCAAGUCGAGCGAACAGACGAGGAGCUUGCUCCUCUGACGUUAGCGGCGGACGGGUGAGUAACACGUGGAUAACCUACCUAUAAGACUGGGAUAACUUCGGGAAACCGGAGCUAAUACCGGAUAAUAUAUUGAACCGCAUGGUUCAAUAGUGAAAGACGGUUUUGCUGUCACUUAUAGAUGGAUCCGCGCCGCAUUAGCUAGUUGGUAAGGUAACGGCUUACCAAGGCAACGAUGCGUAGCCGACCUGAGAGGGUGAUCGGUCACACUGGAACUGAGACACGGUCCAGACUCCUACGGGAGGCAGCAGUAGGGAAUCUUCCGCAACGGGCGAAAGCCUGACGGAGCAACGCCGCGUGAGUGAUGAAGGUCUUCGGAUCGUAAAACUCUGUUAUUAGGGAAGAACAAAUGUGUAAGUAACUAUGCACGUCUUGACGGUACCUAAUCAGAAAGCCACGGCUAACUACGUG